UGUGGUCGGUGUACAGGUGGUGCAUGGCUGUCGUCAGCUCGUGUCGUGAGAUGUUGGGUUAAGUCCCGCAACGAGCGCAACCCUUGUCCUGUGUUGCCAGCAUGCCCUUCGGGGUGAUGGGGACUCACAGGAGACUGCCGGGGUCAACUCGGAGGAAGGUGGGGACGACGUCAAGUCAUCAUGCCCCUUAUGUCUUGGGCUGCACACGUGCUACAAUGGCCGGUACAAUGAGCUGCGAUGCCGUGAGGUGGAGCGAAUCUCAAAAAGCCGGUCUCAGUUCGGAUUGGGGUCUGCAACUCGACCCCAUGAAGUUGGAGUUGCUAGUAAUCGCAGAUCAGCAUUGCUGCGGUGAAUACGUUCCCGGGU
rnacentral:rRNA from 1 species